AGUUAAAAUAAACACACAUAUCACCCUUGUUAGCUCAUAAAAUGGGAGCAAUAAUAACCUAUAUAUAAUGAUGUGAUUUGGCAAAAUAAAAUAAUUUUGGCAAAAUAAAAUAAUUUUAUUUGAAGCAUGUAAAAGUACGAUUAGCCUUUAAACGAGAGUCCCAUAAGGCCAUCUCUAUCUAAAGGGCUAAACAUAGCCCUUUUUAGAAGUAUAGAACUGCAAGAAAUUAUUCUUUAAUAAACAGUAUCAUGUCAUAUACAUAUACUAUCUUCAUCCGAAUGAGCUAAAUAUACUCAUCUUUAAUAAUUUAUUAGCUAUAAGUUUAUUAUUUAAAUUUAUUGGUUAAUUUAAUUAAACUACUACUUAUACCAUAUUAAAAUAAAUUUAUCUAGACAUGAGUUUUUAAUGCCAUGUAUCGCUAAAUGAGUAAGUUUCCAAAUUUCUUAUCUUUAUGUAUUCUCAAUAAUAUUUUAGAUAUAAUUUUUGAGGAUUAAGAGGGUGUGAGAAAUGGUGUAGAAAUGAGAUGGGUAUUCAUAUGAAAAAGUUGGAACUUUUUGAAUUAAACAAAAGAAAAUAGUAUACAGGUAACUGUUGGAGAUUCAAAUAUGGUCGUUGGAUUCUUUCAAACCUGACUGUUGAAUUUGUAAACAGACUGCAGCUGCUGUUACUAGGCCCAACAAACGGGCUAGGUAUCAGGCCAAGCUUGGCCAAUCUGAUGAGAGAUUUUUCAGUGUGAUCAGUACACGCAGUGGUACACCACGUUUCACUAUACAAAUAGUGAGAUAUGUGUGUUAAAAAGUUAAUAACUUAAAAAAUAAAAUUUCCCAUCACUUUUAUUAAAACACGUGGUGUACAACUUAUGUUUCCGUCACAAUUAAAUUUUUUUCCAAUCUGAUGGCAUUUUGGCCAUGUUUUGAUCUAGUGGGCUCCAUUGAUAUGAGUUUUGUCCAAAUUAGACCAUAUUUUUGCUUUUUAGCUCUCUUCAUUCGAAAUGAUCAAAAUUAAAUAACUUUUGAAUUAGGGAUUAAAUUUUCACAUUAAAAUCGGGGGAUCCCCUUCUUUUAAUUAGGGGGUAACUUUUUGUUGAUUUCCUUUUUGGAAUGUAGCAAAAUAAAUAUUUCGAUCAAGCUUUCUAAAAGAUGGAAAUAAUUUGAAAAACUGAUACCAAUGAGAAACGACGCAAACAUCUCACCGUUGAUUGGCCAAGCAAUCCUGUCCUAAAAUAAAUUUUGCCUUUGACAAAAAAUAUGGCUUAUUUUUAGCUACGCUUCGUAGAACGUUAUUUUAAUCUUACUUUAUCCAUUGUAACCCAAAAAUCAUCACUUUAUUUGUAAAACUCAAAAUUUGUUUCAUUUUGACUUUUGAACUCUCUCUCUCAUCUUUGAAACUUAUGGGUCAUCUCCGGAAGCAUACGUGAGAUCGAACACCCAAUAAGCCUAUAUUACGUGUAUACUAAAUUUAAUUAUAAAUCUUCAUUAUGCAUUAACAUUCAACAAUAAAAGAAUAUUAAGUUGAAGAA
rnacentral:lncRNA from 1 species